rnacentral:lncRNA from 1 species
CAUCCACGCUUGCAUUAAGAGAGCAUGUUUAAGCAUGACACAACAAUCCUGAUUGGGAGUUGGAGGCAAUUCUUAACAUUUUACAAAUAACCGUUUAGCAUAACAAUUCUCACACCGCUAUUCUUCAUAUGCAUGGUUUUUCGUAGCAACAACCAAAUGUUAUUCAGGGCAAGGCCACCAUCGAGUGGUUUCUUGCUCCUAGCUCCACGCUACUCUUGAGAUGGCUGAAACAUGGAAGAGGUGUUGUUAUGUAAUGGUAUACUCUUUUGUGGUUGAGUCAGAACAGUGCACUAAAUUAUGGAAUGAUGCGGGCGAGAAAAGAAGAUGUAAGUGUAUAAUACUUGCGUAUUAUGUAUAGAUCAAAGGGAAAUUAAGGAGAAGGAGAAAGGAGCUUACUUGUCAAAUGCCUGCCACAUAGAUUUAGUUGUAUUGUAGCAGAACAACCACAGGAGAAUCAAGACAAUGCUGUCUAUUGUAAGUUAAGGACAAGCACCAGUACACCAUCAGGAAAAUGAUUCCAACAAUUAAUCAGAAGCCAAAAGGCAAGAUUACUGUAAUGUGUACUAGCAUAUACCCACGUUUUGAAUAGGGAUCAGGGCUCAGGGGCAGGGCCGGUGUGUGUGGCAGCUCAUGUGUGUAUGGCGGCUGUAGGCCGGUCAGUUUGGUCAAAUUUCUGAAUCCAGCCUAGCUACUCACCUACCUAACCUGGAGCAUGCUAAAUUGCCAGGCACAUGAGCAAAGCAAUAAGGUGACCUGAGCCACCUGUACUUACUGUGAUGGCAGCUCAGGUACAAAUGUUUACUUGGGAUAUCAUCUUUAUGAGACUUAACCAUCCGUGAACAAACCUAGAUUCUUUAAUUUGGACCUCUUCUUAAACUUUGGAGUGGAAUUUGGCCCCAAAUCAAGGAGACCAGCAGCGUAACCAAAUACUAAUUCCUUUGUUUUCUGAAGAAAGAACAAAUUGAACUUGGUUGUUUCAUUCAUGCUGACUGAUGGAGAUGCGAAACAUGCAGAACUUGGGACAAAAAGAUGGGAAGGGGGAUCAGAGAAAUUGAUGAGGCAGGAAACGAAGGAUACUGAAGAGGUAUCUCUCCCACCAAUCCAUGACGUAGAGGCCAACGGUGACGUUGUACAGGAACAGUUUCCUGCUGAUCCAGCUCAUCUCUUCUCCUCCCCUUUGCCUCUUGGUUCCCGCCAUUGGUUCCAAGCGAGCGAGAGAUGACGCUGCUAGCUGUUCGCUUGGAACUUGUCUGGAUUAUUUAUGCAGUAGUAGUGCAGGGAAGACGAAAGAGGGCUUGCGAUUGGUAUUUAUACAAGGGAAGAGGGACGGAGAAAGUGGUC